CAGCCGCCGCGGUAAUACGGAGGGUGCAAGCGUUAAUCGGAAUUACUGGGCGUAAAGCGCACGCAGGCGGUUUGUUAAGUCAGAUGUGAAAUCCCCGAGCUUAACUUGGGAACUGCAUUUGAAACUGGCAAGCUAGAGUCUUGUAGAGGGGGGUAGAAUUCCAGGUGUAGCGGUGAAAUGCGUAGAGAUCUGGAGGAAUACCGGUGGCGAAGGCGGCCCCCUGGACAAAGACUGACGCGCAUGCACGAAAGCGUGGGGAGCAAACAGGAUUAGAGACCCCUGUAGUCCCUGUCUCUUAUAC
rnacentral:rRNA from 1 species